rnacentral:rRNA from 1 species
UAAAGGGUGCGUAGGCGGUUUAGUAAGUUUCAAGUUAAAGACUGGUGCUUAACAUCAGGAAUGCUUGAAAAACUGCUAGACUUGAGAUAGGUCGGCGUUGCUGGAAUAUGGCAAGUAGAGGUGAAAUUCAUAGAUAUGCCAUAGAACACCGAUAGCGAAGGCAGGCGACGAGGCCUUAUCUGACGCUGAGGCACGAAAGCGUGGGAAGCAAACAGGAUUAGAUACCCUGGUAGUCCACGCUGUAAACGAUGAUGACUUGUUGUUCGGGAGAGAAUCCUGAGUGACAAAGCGAAAGCGAUAAGUCAUCCACCUGGGGAGUACGCCGGCAACGGUGAAACUCAAAGGAAUUGGCGGGGGCCCGCACAAGCGGAGGAGCAUGUGGUUUAAUUCGAUGGUACGCGAGGAACCUUACCUGGGCUUGAAAGUUAGGGACGGACGCUGAAAGGCGUCUUUCCCGCAAGGGACCCGAAACUAGGUGCUGCAUGGCUGUCGUCAGCUCGUGCCGUGAGGUGUUUGGUUAAGUCCAUCAACGAGCGCAACCCCUGUCGUUAGUUGCCAACGCGUAAGGCGGGGACUCUAACGAGACUGCCAGCGCAAGCUGGAGGAAGGAGGGGACGACGUCAAGUCAUCACGGCCCUUAUGUCCAGGGCUACACACGUGCUACAAUGGUGGAUACAGAGGGUCGCGAAGCCGUAAGGCGGAGCCAAUCCCAGAAACUCCACCUCAGUUCGGAUUGAGGUCUGCAACUCGACCUCAUGAAGCUGGAUUCGCUAGUA